UACAGAGGUCUCAAGCGUUUGUUCGGAUUCAUUGGGCGUAAAGGGUGCGUAGGCGGCGCGGUAAGUCGGGUGUGAAAUCUCGGAGCUUAACUCCGAAACUGCAUUCGAUACUGCCGUGCUUGAGGACUGGAGAGGAGACUGGAAUUUACGGUGUAGCGGUGAAAUGCGUAGAUAUCGUAAGGAAGACCAGUGGCGAAGGCGGGUCUCUGGACAGUUCCUGACGCUGAGGCACGAAGGUCAGGGGGAGCAAACGGG
rnacentral:rRNA from 1 species